rnacentral:lncRNA from 1 species
AAGGCCGGCAAGUACGCCGAGCGCGUGGGCGCCGGCGCCCCUGUCUACCUCGCAGCUGUCCUCGAGUACCUCGCCGCUGAGGUUCGUGCCCCGUUUCCAUUUCGCCUUAACUGUGGGGUUCGCUUCGGGUCCCUGUCGCUGCCGUCCUAUCUGGUUGUUGCUCCGUCUGCGGUGCGACAGCUCCUAGAUCUGAAUCGAAUAGUCUCGUUGAUUUGUUGCAUAAUUAUAAAGUGAUUUCAAAGGAUUUGUCGCCGGCAUUAUCUGCACUUUUGCUUUAUUGGUGACCAAAACAAUUCCUCUUGAUUAUUUGCUAGAAUAGUAAAUCUAUCUAGGAGUCCUAUAAUUAAGCUGUCAUCAGUAAUUUUGUACAUCAAACGUUCUAGAAACAUGAGCUAAAUGCCUCUUUACUAUUUUUGCCUGUAGCAUUCUGUCUCGGCUUCGCCUUUUAUCCCGCGAAACCCCAAGCGCCAGAAGCAAUUUCAUCUGACCUACCUUUUCGUUUUUAUUCGAUGCUUCAACAGGUCCUGGAGCUUGCUGGGAACGCAGCGAGGGAUAACAAGAAGACCCGCAUCGUGCCGCGUCACAUCCAGCUCGCCGUGCGCAACGACGAGGAGCUGACCAAGCUGCUUGGUGGUGCCACCAUCGCGAGCGGCGGCGUUAUGCCCAACAUCCACCAGCACCUCCUCCCCAAGAAGGCUGGCUCGUCCAAGGCUUCCACCGUCGAUGACGAUGACAACUGAAGCUGCCCACUGGAGAAGGCAUUCGCUACCGUCUUGUUUCCUAGGUUUAGCACGCAGUUAGUCGCCAUGUCUUUGAGAGAGUUCGAUGUGUUUGGGAAUGACAAUAGUUCCUUUCUUGGUUCCCUAAGUUCGUUGAAUCAGAUGUGAAUACGGCUAAGGUUUUUGGGUUAUGCAACUCUGGGACGUACGCCAGUUGAUUUGAUCGUUUGAAAAGAAAUGGAAGGACGUUAAAGUUUGAACAAUUCUGAUGCGUUUUAUUUCAAUUUCUGUUCAGAAUUAGCUAUCUGUUGCUGCUCCGAUUUCAGUGUGUACCUCAUUUACUUUUGAGGUAACAAGCUCGUUUCAACUGUGUUUUCACCGAUAAUUGGAACAAAUUGAUCGACAAUUUAGCACACAACAGUUUCUUAGGAAUCAGCCGCCGAAAUGCCCGCAAGAAAUGACAAAUUCUGAGGCCGACGCCCGGGCAAACGGCUCUGUUUGAGUGUAAAGCUAAUUCGUACACAUUAAAACCACACUCAUGCAAUAUGCAGUGUAAAAAAAUGUUUUGAUUGACCAAACAGGUGAACUGCUAGACAUGGUGUAAUAGGUAUAAAAAGACUUGUUUACUCGAUUCCGCUGGUUAACGUUUAAUCUGUAUCAAAUUGGAUUUUUGAAUGUCAAUUACAAACAUCAAUUAGUAAGUCUUGGACUGUAGUUUGUCGUGUUGUUUUGUCUUUAUGUUGAACAAAAUCCUCAUGGCUCGAUUACUGUAUCAGGGUUCAACAAAAUCUUUAUGGCUCAAUUACUCGUACGACUUAACUUGUUAAUGGCUUGGCUUGUUUUAUUAUUUUAGCAGAUGAAUCGGUCUUCUAGCUCGGUUCUCUGACGAGUCAACUCUCAAUGACAAGCACUUUAUCUAGUUAUCAGUGACGCCUCACCUAUUCUAGUUUUGUUCUCUCGUAGUUAUAACAUAUAUAUAGACAUAUGUGCAUGUUCCAUGUAAUUAAAUUUAUGUAUGGCUAUAUAUUUAUAUUGUUUAUUUAAUAUUUGAUUACUAGUGUUGGUUUUAUGAAUUUGUGUUUACUAGAAGUAUACAACAUUAGUGUUGUGAAAUGAAAUAUUAUAUAUUUGUGGAAUGAAUGAUUGAACCCAGAUUGGUGCGUACCUCUUUGUUGGGUGUGUCAUAUCGAGUUUUUUUAGCUUUGGGUUGUUUUUGGGUUGAGUUAGAUUUUAAAUAAAAAAUCAUGUUAGCAAUCUCUUUUUCUAUAUCUUUAAUUUCUAGAGUGGUUUCCUAAAUCUCCUGUUAUAUGGCACUAUAACAAUAAAAUAUUAUUUGUCAUACCUAUUAAUUAUCAGUUACUAUUUUUUCUUAAUUAACAAACUAUGCUGCCCACGGAAAUCAAGACUAGGAGGCCGGCAGGCGCGUCUCCAAAUAUGGUGGUUCGCUGUACAAAACGUUAACAUUAUAGCUGUUGCGGGGGGAAAUGAUGAACACAAAUCGUCGCCAGAGUGAGGUGGGUGCGUUCGGCGGUGACCGCUGCUAUGGGAAAAAAAAGUCUCGGAGGCCCACUGGCAAUUUAUGUGCGACCCACAAUCCGGACGAAACGGUGUCGCGGCAAAACAAAACCAACCUUCACCGCACCGCACGUCACUCUCUCUCCAAGUAACAUUGGACGGUCAGGAUCGUUGCCCUACCGCAUUCCCCAUCCUGCCACGUCACCGAUCCGCGUCCUCCUGUCCCAUUGGCUAUCGUAGCUAUAUAACACAACUACCCACCGCUUUCAUAGUCCUGAUUACAAACCCGUCCUCUGUCCGUCCUACCACCACAGCUCACCGCGGUUUGGCUUUCUCCCCUCUUCCGCACCCGCUUCUCGCUCCGGAUUCCCUCUGCUCUUUCCCUAACGAAGGUAGCCAUGGCGGGGAGAGGUAAGGCGAUCGGCUCAGGCGCCGCCAAGAAGGCCACGUCCAGGAGCUCCAAGGCUGGCCUCCAGUUCCCCGUGGGAAGGAUCGCCAGGUUCCUCAAGGCCGGCAAGUAUGCCGAGAGAGUCGGCGCCGGCGCCCCUGUCUACCUCGCUGCCGUGCUCGAGUAUCUUGCUGCUGAGGUAAAGAAGGCUUCCGAUUUUGUGGCUAUUGGCUAAUUCUUUUAUUUUUGUUUUGAGCAUUGAAAAUUUGGCUGCUGGGGUUUCCUUUUUCUUUUUAUAUAAAAUGGGUGUUAAUUGCUGAAAUUACUGAAUUGAAGUAGAACACCAGGCGGAUUUUGGCUGAAGAUCUAAACCUAUCGUUGGUUGAUUUGCUAUUUUCUGUUGAACCAGUAAGGAUUCUGAUUCAAUAAUUGGGGGCUUUCUCCGUGUUCGUUCGUGC